rnacentral:miRNA from 1 species
CAGGGAACCAGUUGGGGCUU